rnacentral:rRNA from 1 species
CUAGCCGUAAACGAUGGAUACUAGGCGUUGUGAGUAUCGACCCUCACAGUGUCGUAGCUAACGCGUUAAGUAUCCCGCCUGGGGAGUACGCGCGCAAGCGUGAAACUCAAAGGAAUUGACGGGGGCCUGCACAAGCGGUGGAGUAUGUGGUUUAAUUCGAUGCAACGCGAAGAACCUUACCAGGACUUGACAUGUCGCGAAUCUCAGGGAAACUUGAGAGUGCCUUCGGGAGCGCGAACACAGGUGGUGC